GUGCGGAACACGUACGCAACCUUCCUACAGGCGGGGAAUAGCCCAGAGAAAUUUGGAUUAAUACCCCAUAAGAUUUUGAGAUGGCAUCAUCUUAUUAUUAAAGAUUUAUCACCUGAAGAUGGGCGUGCGGCUGAUUAGGUAGUUGGCGGGGUAACGGCCCACCAAGCCUACGAUCAGUAGCUGAUGUGAGAGCAUGAUCAGCCACACGGGCACUGAGACACGGGCCCGACUCCUACGGGAGGCAGCAGUAAGGAAUAUUGGUCAAUGGACGCAAGUCUGAACCAGCCAUGCCGCGUGGAGGAUGAAGGUCCUCUGGAUUGUAAACUUCUUUUAUCUGGGACGAAAAAAGGGUUUUCUAACUCGUCUGACGGUACCAGAUGAAUAAGCACCGGCUA
rnacentral:rRNA from 1 species